CCACGCAACAUUGAGUGAUCGGCAGGAGGGAGCGCUGUGCGCUUCCCUCCUGCCGGUCACCUAAAUCUAGCGCACCCCGCCCUCGUGCCGAAAAAGUUGGCUGAUACUGGAGUAUAUACGUUAAUAUAUAUAUUUUUUAUUAUGAUGUUAUUGUGAUGUUAUUCUGUUCCACGGUGAAAAGCAUUUCCGAGUCACUUGAAUUGGAUAUCGAGCAAACAGGAAGUAUGUUUUAGUGUUCUUGGGUGGAAUGCACGGCAGACACACGUGGAAACACUGAUGAUCAGCAUACCAGGAAGUAUUUAUUCAGAAGCUUUUCGACCUAACCACAUAUCCCUAAAGGAAGUCCCACACAAAGGACGAAACCUGUUGGAUGAAAGAGAA